GCGAAAAACGGUAAAAAGCAUGUCAACAGUUGAAAGAUGUAGCACGUUGAAAUCAGUUUAUUCCUGUGCAUGAAUCCGUCAGAAAGGAAUGGCUGAACUAGACAUCCUUCCAAAAGUGAUGAGAAGAAAAAUAAUCACGAAGUGUCACGAACGAGGCUCGAGGGCGGACCCAAAUGCACGACUCCAGAGGCAAGCAGAAAAACGGCUGGUGCCAUACUCCUCUCCCAGGCGUUGCUGUGGAGAUGAACGACACCAGAUAAGGAGCGGAAAGUUACCAUCCCGGCCCAGGAUUUGACAAUGGGGUGGCAGCCGCUUCUACCAUGGACCCAUACAUAUAAAAACUGUGUGUUACUGGGCAGCUUUUGCCUUCUUCUUUGGCUAUCCUGCCAGAAGACACACGUCUCGUGUGCGGCAGACACCUAGAUAAGACCCGGACGUCUGUACUGCACAUUCCUUUGUAAUCCAUUUGCUGUUAACUUUUUCUAAUCAUUGGUCAUAUCUUCCUCGACUUGCGAACACGCAUAGGGUCCAAACUCGCAAAUCCCUACAGUAUUUUGCGUUUUCUUCAGAUUUUGUGGGGAUGCUACCAUUGAAGAAUACCAAUGAUAGCAAAACCUUAAGAAUGCGAUGUCAUCCAAAUAAGAAAGUGAGCUGCAUUUACUUUUUGGGUAAUCUCACCACCAAAGCACAAGUGGUGACCUUUAUUCAUCACUGCAUCAUUUAUUCAGCAUCAAAGUGUGACUGCAUUAAAUUUCAUUUACUGAAAAGCAAUUUAACUUAUUUUUCACUUUUAUGAGAACAAAAGAUGUUCCAAGUGUAUUUUAACUGUUUAUUUAAGGUCAUAACGGUUUUAUGAUUGCAGUCUAAAAGUGAUUUUUAAAUUUGGGGCUUUCAUCAUCUGCCUUAAAUGAAACCAAAGAACGGUUAAAGCUGCUUCUACUGCAUUUAUUUUUCCUUUUUCCAAAGUAGGAGUUCACUUCUGCAGAAAACGCCUGCAACGACAAUGUUCUUGUGGGCCACUGAAAGAGGUUACUUGACUCCAUUAGGAGCGAUGAUUUGGUUAUGACAUAAUUUAAUUAUAUUUAUAUCCUACUUAGCAAAUUGACUCCUACAUAUUUGGAAAUGCUGUCUGUGAUUAAUGGAUAUUGUGGAUCGCGCUGAGGAAGGAGCACAGGUUCAUACAUUACAGUAUGUAGUAUAAUAAAAUUUAUGAAGUUUGUUAAUGUGAUGCAGACUGCAUCAUGGUUAUAAUAUCACACAUAGGUUUACACUUUAAUAAAGGCCUCCAAAUAUACAAUCAAGAUGGAAACAAUUGUUUGGAAAUGAAUCAUCUCACCUUUGCAUUUUGUUUUAAACCAUUGUAAAAAAAAAUUUGCCUGGUUUCCCAACAUCAUUUCUGGAGUGUAACCACUUGUGUAUAAUGUUGCAACUUGAAAGGAAACAUUAAUAAAAACGUAUCCCAAAGUUA